AGAGUUUGAUUCAUGGCUCAGAUUGAACGCUGGCGGCAUGCCUUACACAUGCAAGUCGAACGGCAGCACGGGCUUCGGCCUGGUGGCGAGUGGCGAACGGGUGAGUAAUACAUCGGAACGUGCCCUGUCGUGGGGGAUAACUAGUCGAAAGAUUAGCUAAUACCGCAUACGACCUGAGGGUGAAAGCGGGGGACCGGUAACGGCCUCGCGCGACAGGAGCGGCCGAUGUCUGAUUAGCUAGUUGGUGGGGUAAGAGCCUACCAAGGCGACGAUCAGUAGCUGGUCUGAGAGGACGAUCAGCCACACUGGGACUGAGACACGGCCCAGACUCCUACGGGAGGCAGCAGUGGGGAAUUUUGGACAAUGGGGGCAACCCUGAUCCAGCAAUGCCGCGUGUGUGAAGAAGGCCUUCGGGUUGUAAAGCACUUUUGUCCGGAAAGAAAUGGCGCUGGUUAAUACCCGGCGUCGAUGACGGUACCGGAAGAAUAAGCACCGGCUAACUACGUGCCAGCAGCCGCGGUAAUACGUAGGGUGCGAGCGUUAAUCGGAAUUACUGGGCGUAAAGCGUGCGCAGGCGGUUUGAUAAGACAGGCGUGAAAUCCCCGAGCUCAACUUGG
rnacentral:rRNA from 1 species